AUUUCAUGGUUAGGGCAUUUUAAAAGCUUCUCCUUAAAUCUCCCCCAAGCUUCAUACCACGACUCCCCAUGGAAUUAAUAAAAAUUAAUGAUUUUAUCCCACAAUU
rfam:Capsicum annuum cultivar Zunla-1 chromosome 9, whole genome shotgun sequence